AACGAACGCUGGCGGCAUGCCUAACACAUGCAAGUCGAAAGAAGGUUUUCUCUUCGGAGGGGGCCUUAGUGGCGCACGGGGGAGUAACACGUGGGAACCUGCCUUUCGGUUAGGGAUAACGCUUGGAAACGAAAGCUAACACCGGAUACGCCCUUCGGGGGAAAGUUCACGCCGAGAGAUGGGCCCGCGUCGGAUUAGGUAGGUGGUGGGGUAAUGGCUCACCAAGCCUGCGAUCCGUAGCUGGUCUGAGAGGAUGAUCCGCCACACUGGGACUGAGACACGGCCCAGACUCCUACGGGAGGCAGCAGUGGGGAAUAUUGGACAAUGGGCGCAAGCCUGAUCCAGCAAUGCCGCGUGAGUGAUGAAGGCCUUAGGGUUGUAAAGCUCUUUCGCACGCGACGAUGAUGACGGUAGCGUGAGAAGAAGCCCCGGCUAACUUCGUGCCAGCAGCCGCCGUAAUAC
rnacentral:rRNA from 1 species